rnacentral:tRNA from 3 species
GGGACCGUGGGUUAGCCUGGUAUACUCCGAGCCUUGGGUGCUCGUGACCGCGGUUCAAAUCCGCGCGGUCCCA